AUAAAGAAAUGUGGCUCUGUAGUGGACACCUGUGAGGCAGUGGACAGACAGCUGCUGAAGUCUGAUGCUGGCCGACAAUAAACAGACCUCUCUGGAUGUACCCCAUCUUUUGUAGUUUCCAGAGUAAUUCUAACAUUGCCCUUCCUGUAACAUGAUGAUCCUGCUGUCCUGGACUGUAUAUGAUGAGCCUACACAUAAUCUCAGAACAGCUGUGGUAAUAACAAGAGCCCCAUUUGGUGAGAGCGGCACUGCAGUCUUUCCUGAUGGAGGAGAUCAUGGACCAUUUGCAUAAGACUGAUGAUGCGUUUCAGCGGCCAUCAGCAUCGUAAAUCCUCACCAUUCUUUUAUAUUUUGAUUUUUUUAUUUUUUAUUAUGUGCAUUAAUAACACUAUACUUUGUAUUAUCUUACAUUUGUGUCAAAUUACAAAAAAAAAUAGCUAAUGCAAGAGUGUUUCAAAUCCAGAGUCUUUGGGAGGAAUGAUAAAUUUGACAUUGUUCUCUCUUCUGACUGCUGUUAUCAGUCUCUGUCAGAUUUUUUCCUUUGAUUGAAAGUUGUGAAAAUGCUAUCUUUAGAGUUUAUGUUUUAUUAUUUGAGUAAAUAAGAAUGCAAAAAUAUAUUUGUGAUACUCUCCCAUUCACUGCUCUCGAAGUUAUUCUUCCAAUCAGUUACCACAAUUUAGAACAGGAAAGAAAAUGUUACUAUGAAUUGCAUUGUGUCUAAAAUUGAAUUGAAUUUAUUAAUUUAAAUUGUAUCAUUGUUUUAGGUACAUGAAAUGUUUUUUAAAGUUCUAAGAUAAUUGAGUCCCAUUUAUUUGAUAAUAAUUUUACCAAGGUGUAAAUUUUUUUUGUUGUUGUUAUUUGUUUAUAGCAAUAUUAACACUGAUGUGUCCAUGAAUGGGAUUGUGAUGUGCAGUAUUGACUAUUUAAGGUGAUUAUGGAUAUUG